CAGUAGCCGCGGGAAUACAGAGGAUGCAAGCGUUAUCCGGAAUGAUUGGGCGUAAAGCGUCUGUAGGUGGCCUUUCAAGUCCGCCGUCAAAUCCCAGGGCUCAACCCUGGACAGGCGGUGGAAACUACCAAGCUGGAGUACGGUAGGGGCAGAGGGAAUUUCGCGUGUAGCAGUGAAAUGCGUAGAUAUGCGGAGGAACACCGAUGGCGAAGGCAAUCCCCUGGACCUGUACUGACGCUCAUGCACGAAAGCGUGGGGAGCAAACAGGAUUAGAUACCCCUGUAGUCCCUGUCUCUUAUAC
rnacentral:rRNA from 1 species